rnacentral:rRNA from 1 species
GAUGAACGCUGGCGGCGUGCCUAAUACAUGCAAGUCGAGCGAACAGACGAGGAGCUUGCUCCUCUGACGUUAGCGGCGGACGGGUGAGUAACACGUGGAUAACCUACCUAUAAGACUGGGAUAACUUCGGGAAACCGGAGCUAAUACCGGAUAAUAUAUUGAACCGCAUGGUUCAAUAGUGAAAGACGGUUUUGCUGUCACUUAUAGAUGGAUCCGCGCCGCAUUAGCUAGUUGGUAAGGUAACGGCUUACCAAGGCAACGAUGCGUAGCCGACCUGAGAGGGUGUCCGCCCCCACUGAAAUGGAAACACGUCCCAGCCCCCACGGGAGGCCGCCGGUGGGAAAUUUUCCGCAAUGGGCGAAGGCCGGCCGGACCAACGCGCGUUGAGUAAUAAGGUCCUUCGAUUCUUAAACCCCUUUUAUUGGGAAAAACAAAAUUGGAAAGUACCAAGCACCGUCUGACCGUAACUUAAUCAGAAGCCACGGCUAACUACGUG